rnacentral:rRNA from 1 species
AUUGAACGCUGGCGGCAGGCUUAACACAUGCAAGUCGAGCGGGGGAAGGUAGCUUGCUACUGGACCUAGCGGCGGACGGGUGAGUAAUGCUUAGGAAUCUGCCUAUUAGUGGGGGACAACAUCUCGAAAGGGAUGCUAAUACCGCAUACGUCCUACGGGAGAAAGCAGGGGAUCUUCGGACCUUGCGCUAAUAGAUGAGCCUAAGUCGGAUUAGCUAGUUGGUGGGGUAAAGGCCUACCAAGGCGACGAUCUGUAGCGGGUCUGAGAGGAUGAGCCGCCACACUGGGACUGAGACACGGCCCAGACUCCUACGGGAGGCAGCAGUGGGGAAUAUUGGACAAUGGGGGGAACCCUGAUCCAGCCAUGCCGCGUGUGUGAAGAAGGCCUUAUGGUUGUAAAGCACUUUAAGCGGGGAGGAGGCUACUUUAGUUAAUACCUAGAGAUAGUGGACGUUACUCGCAGAAUAAGCACCGGCUAACUCUGUGCCAGCCGCCGCAGUAA